AGCUUAUUCAAGAGGGGGUUAUUUGAAAGUGGGAUAGGAGAGGUAGCCUUAUGAGAGUGAAAUAAUCUAUGAGCUUGCAGUAUGUUGUACCACAGCUACAUCCUUCCAUAUUUCUUUUCAGAGAUGCAGAAGUGAUGAGAUUAAAACAACAAAAAGCCGCAGAAAAGAAAGCCUCUGCAGAAGGUGGUGCUGGAACAUCAAAGAAAUAACAAAGAAAUCAAAACAGGUCACUUUAUAUAUUGCAUGUUUCUUUUAGCUUUUACACACUACAAACUAUAUUAGUUCUAUAUGUUAUGUGCUCUGAUCUGUUAUAGAUGAAAAACAAUUUCUUGUUGUGCUUUGCUUUUUAAAUUUCUAAUUCAAAGUUUUGUUCAAAUUCAAGACUGCAUUUCAAAGAGACUGCAUUUUUGAUAUUGUGUCUAAUGAGUCAUUCCAGAAAAGAUUCACACUCCCCCACAGAGGAAAUUUCUGCUGUUCUGAGGGGGGAUGGAAGACAAAUUUGUUUCUGAUAAUAAUAAGUGUAUUAGGAUGACCAAAGGUGGUAGGGGGGUUAACUUCCAAUUUCUAACUUGGGGGAGGUAUGGUUGUUUUCUGGAAUGACCCAAUGCUGAGUUAAUAUCUGUAUCAUACUGACUUCCAAACUUUGUAUUAGAAAUUUAAACUAAAUGAAAACAAAUAAUUAUAGAUAUUGUAUAUUCUACAAAGUACCUAAAUAUGUACAUUCAUUAAGAUUAAUUUUUCAGAACCAUAUUAGUAUAUUACUGGGGCACAUUUACGGGAAUUAUAUGAACCUACAGUAUAUGCAAUAAAUGUGACUCUAAAUUAUGUUGUUUUUAAAAUCAAUAUUAAAAAUCAAUAUUAAUUGAUAAAUAUAAAUAAUCAUAAUUUUAUAUUGUUUUUGUUGUGUGCACAUAAAACGUUUGGGGUAGAUAUUUCUUAACUUUGCCCAUAUUAAUUUAGAAUAAGCUAAAUGUUUGUAUAUUAACUGUCAGGCGAGAGAUCGAAUAUAGUUUUAGAUUAAGUGAAGAAUUUGUAGACAAGAGAAAUGUUGAAAAUGUAAGUACAGUUAUUCUUGUUUUAUAUAGCUACAGUAUUUAUUAAUGUUUCCUGGACCUCUAGGAAGAACAGUUUAGGAUUGAUAGAGCUAUCUAGUAUAAAUAAAGUUAGUUUAGUUUAGGUUUCUUCCUGUAGCAACACUGGAUCCUAUAAUUCUGGACCAGCAAGGGAUUUCUUUUACUGGACCUCUAGGCAGAACAGUUUAGAACUGAUAGACUGAGCUAUCCAGUAUAAAUAAAGUUUGUUUAGUUCAGGUUUCCUCCUGUAGUAACACUGGAUCAAUAAGAGAUGAUCCUUACUGGACCUCUAGGGAGAACAGUUAGAACUGCUAGAGCUAUCUAGUAUUCUCAGUGCAUAAAUGGACCAAUAUUCAUGUUAAUAGGCCCUUACUGUGGAUGUCUCUAAGAACGGUUUAAAAUUAUUAUAUCCAGUUAAUACAGUUAUCCAGUACAAAAAGUUUAGUCAAGUAAACAGAACGAGUUUUUGACAUGAAAUAUUGCAAUUACAGUACGUGACACACUGCCCACACAAUAAUCAAGUAUUUCGCGUUAAUUUUAAGAUAUCUGGCUUUGUCUAAGUGCAAUUGUAUCCACGCACAAUAUCCUAUCAACUUAUCUCACCGUUUUAUCUCCAGUAAAAUAUAGCUACAAGAGCGAAAGAAACAAAUUAAUCUUGAGUUGAGCUUAAUUGCCUAGAGCUGUAAGCCCUUAAUUUACGUCUAUACAUUGUCAUUGAGCUUGAAAUAACUGUUGUUAGAAACAUUUAGACCUGGUUGAACGAGAGUUUCCUUGGCGAUUUUAUAGAG
rnacentral:lncRNA from 1 species